UAAAAUAGCCGAAUAAAAAAUUAAUAUAAGCCCAACAACUAAUAAAUUCGAUGUUAGCCCAACAAAAUAAUUCAAAUAAAUCUGACUGCCUUGUGAUUAUAUUAUUUAGUUUAAAUCUAAUAAUUAAACUACAUUAGGCAUAAUUAGAAAAUAAGAUACACAAUAUAAAUAGGAUUUUUCCCCUCAGUUCAUGCGCCGCCACCGACACCAAACCCUAAUUCUCUGCCUUCACCGAUAUCAUCUAGAAACGGCGACACGAAGACUUCUUCCCACUCGCAGUCGCCGACGACACAAUCCGCGACACGGUGGAUGAAAUGGCGAUUCGGUGUAUGAGACGGUGAGGCUGGGCCGGUUCGAUUUCGUCAAACCCUGCGAUUCUACUUCUGAACAAAUCACCUCGCAUGCCGGAAUUGGGCGAGAUAGGAACAACUCUUAUCCUUCGGUCAAUUAACCGUCACAAAUUACUGAAUUCCAGAACUGAGUCGUGCUGCAAUUGAGUCAUAACCUUUCAAAAUAGGAAGAAAGAUGAGAGCGCAUGAAGGGUAGACUGAUCUUGAUAAGCAUGACCAGAGCUCAUUUGCAGCAAUGACAUUCAGAAGAAUAUCCAUAAAAAAUCCAGACAUCUGACCUUGGUGAUAGAGUUACGGAAACUGGGAUGAAGAUUGUCGAGGAAGGUUAUGAAAGGAGAAUGCAGAUCAAGAAUGGAGGCACAACAACUGGCAGCACGAUUAAGGAAUCAAAGAAUGCAAACAAAAUGUUAGAUGUGUGAUAUAAAAGUCGGUCUAAAACCUAUUAGAACACAACAACCGCCACUCUCUGCAGCAAAAAGGAGCCACUCUCUGCCUAGAAAAAGAACCACUCUCUGCAGCAAAAAGGAGAGAGAAAGCAGUCAGAUAAAAAAGCCAAGACACAUAAUUAUUACAAUCUUCCAUAGGUGACAUGGCAUGCGUGGAAGUUGAAACAACUAUAUUUCAUGAUCAGCAAACAAGAACUAAUAAUAACAAGAUACAAAAGGUUGCAUAGGAAAGGGAAGAUUAUGAUUGCCACCUUUGGAAAAAAAGGCAAAGCACCAAUUUUAAGAGAGUCAUUUAUUGCAGAACAAUUUUCAAAGUAGGUUGGGUUGUUUGGAAGAUAAAAAGACUACAUGAGAAAAAUGCAUAAAUCUCGUUUUGUAAUUGUUGGUUCAUGUAAAUAUUGUAUUAUUAGAGCAAUUGUGAUGUAUAAUGUGCCAUAGUUUAGAAAAUAGGUAAAAAUAGGCUAAGAAAGUGAAAAUAUGUCUGCUACAAAAAAUAUGAUUUUUUUACUUUCCAACUGGCCCCACAUGUUCAUGUGACCCCUA